GGGCGUGCGCAGAACGUGGCGUUGGAUAAAUGUUGUGGCGGUUCGGCCCGAAAGGAGUAGCGUAGCGCCUCGAGGGCGGUGUUGUGAGCGUAGCGAAACGCUGCGAGGCCUCAAGCAGGGGCAGUGACCACACCCGUACUGUCAGGCCGCACGCCUUCGGCACUGCCACCCGACUACCUGCGGUCCCGAGGCCUCGCCUAAGCCUUACUGCCCUCUGUCCAAAAAUACAGCUGAACGCUGAGCUCGCUCAGGAGCCAGGGCAUCCACAACACCGUGCGUAGUCUUUUUUGAGGGCUGUCUGCUGAUUAAAGACCUCCGUCAAAUCCAAAUGGCUAGGAAAAAUACAGUGCAGAAGAUUACAGAACCACAGGCUUUAAUUAGGAAAGAAAAAAAUAACACAAGGGCAAGCAAGACGCCUAAAUUAGUAUCACUUGUGUCUGUAUGAGUCGCUGUAACUCACUCUGCCUACAGAAUUCAACUCCCUUUACCAAGAACAAUAUCAUCCGAAACUGAGGUAACCACCCCUGGUAACUGCAGCCUUCGUACACUGCUCCCUGUGGCUCCGCUGAGUGCCUCUCCUCCCAGCAGUGUCCUCCUGAACUCCCAGUAUAUGCAAAGCUGCCAAUGCCAAGACAGAAAACCUCCAGACCCUUUCUGUAGUCAAAAUUUGUUCAGAAGUGCCACGGCUGUUAGAUCUGGCUAUCCCCAUAAUAGCUCCAAGCAUGCGCACUGUAAUUCUAAACAAGAAGCAUAUGCUGUAUUUAAGAAGAACCAUGUAUCUGCUGGUAGAUGCAAAGCUGUUUUCAUUAUGAUGUUCCUGGCGUAAAGAUAUGAAUGUAGUUCUUCAUUUGCAUUGUGCGUUGCUUUGUAAGCAGGACAAGCAGUGAAGUAAAAGCUGCAUGAUGGGAGCUGAGGGUUUUGUUUUUCCAUGCAACAUGUAUUCUCACAGGAAUACAUGCUAUGCUGUGACGGAAGGAGAAUCAGGUUCCUGUCUAUAGUUUUAAGAAAAGACUUCACCUUCCACAUUUUCAAAAGGUAUACAAUAAUCACUUAUCUAUUGCUGCAGCAAGAUGCAAAGCAACUGCUGCUGUGUUGCAGCAACCUGUUAUCACACAAGCAUCAAAUCUAUCUGUGCUUGUUACAGAUUAUUAACAACAACAAAAAAAAGUGAAAUGCAAAAUGUUAGACCAAACUUUAAGGCUUCCUGCAGCAUAGGUGCAGUUAUCUAGAAGACCACUUCCAUAAGGCUGAAGUUCAGGAUCAGUGCCUAUGUUCUUAAGGCACACUGAAAUUAUCCACAGCAUCGAUUUCUUUGUAAGUGAACUUUCUCUUGAACUCCAUAUACCAAGUAGAAAAUGAGCUUUAACAGCAACAAAGGGCUGUUUCCAAAAUUUACCAACUUACCUGCAGAUCUUGCCUCCUACCGUGUAUUUACAGUAGCACUUCUGAAAAAAAAAUGCUUGUUGAGGCCUGUUAAACACACCACUUGUUUGGAGACAAGGCUGGAUGAGAAUAUCCAAGAUUUUUGGUUAUUUUUCUUAAUGAGCUGCUGAGCAUUAUCUCGUGAACAUGACUGAAAAAUCAGCUCGUGCUACCAUGUCAAUGUCCAGUCACUACAGUUUGUCAGACAAGCUUCUUGCCUAAUACCUAGCAGCAAGAAAGUUAAGAGCAAAAGUAAGCACUCAGUGUCUUGCUAAUUCAAUUACAGAUUUGGUAUAAAAACACAUUUAGUGAGGUGGUGGGAAGGCGAUUUUAUGUGCUGUUUCAGUAAGCAGGCAAUUUAUUGAGCUCUUUCUGCAAGGAAACGACAAAUUUUCAAGGUUUAUCAGAGAAAUCCAUAAUGGGUUACUCACUACAGAACCUAAUACUGUCACUCAAUUCUGAAAGCCUGUGAAAAAAGCUUUGCAAAAAUAUUGCUUAUAGUUCUUAUCUCUUCCCUAGGUAUUGGUUUACAGUGGUUGCCAAGGAAGGAUACUGGGUUAGUUAGCUGCUGUCCCAGUACAAUUGCUCCUUUGUUCUUCCAGCAUCAUGGGAGUGGACAGAAAAGAAUGCUAUUCUGAUAGCCGUAACUAUACCAUCCACAGACAGACACCUCAGCACCUACUAAUGGAAGGUACCACCUUCAUCAGCUGGAAGACAGACUUGAACUUCACAGUGCUCUUAACCCCCUGAUUACAAAUCCUAAAGCCUAAAUGUUUAUGAGUACAUGCAGAUGGGAAUUAGUAAUAAUUUACAGGGCCUCCUGUCUCCACACACAUUGCAUAACAUCCUGUUGUCUUUUUUUAACUUAAGAUUAUGAAGGGGCUUUUUGGUGUGUUUGCUUAAGAGCAUCUGUGAGAUGCCUACGGCUCUUAAUUAGACAAAGCUCUGAGUUAUACCAGUGGCCAAUUACUCGCUUCUGGCCUCUUCAGAUCUCUCCAUACCCCUUUUAAAUACUGCCAUUUCACAGACUGAGAAACACAGCUGAAUGAAUACUUGCAGAAAGUGAGAGCUGUGGUCCAAGGUUCCAGCCUUUAUACAGUUUUCCCCCAAGGCGACAGUUUUAACGUAUAAAGCCUUCAAAACUCAAAAGGACUUGAAUAAGGAAAACAAACACUGGUUAUUUCUUCCUCUGGAAGAGUGCUGGAGAAAGCAACACAUCUUUCUUGUGUUAAGGCAUGUAAAGAAUCAACGAAACACCUGAAUUCUUAUUAAGUCAGGUAGUUCAUCUGCUCUUCCACAGUAUUUCUGACGCUAUAAGGUGUAGGUAUUUACAGACCUGGGAUUAUUUUGGAUACAGAUCCAAAAUAUUUAUUUCACCAAGCACGUUCCAUAAUGAAAAUGACCAGAAAUAUGAAAAAUGACUGAAAUUUUCAGAUGCCAUCAAGUUAAAAGAGGGCAAUGCAACAUGUCUUGUGUCAAGAUGCAUUUCUAGGAAGAAAAAUACAGAAAAGCUUGGAAUUAUAAGAUCUAAAUUAAAUAUUUUUGCAAUUUUAAGGUCUCACUCUGAGUACUGAAACUGAGGAAUCCCUCAGUUUCAUUAUCUGAAAGCCACAGAAUCAUCUAAACAAGCCAAUGUGAAUGUAACUCCAAAAAGUAUCUUGACUAAGCUUUGAAUUAAGUUUGUUUAACAGAUGGGACAUUCCUCAACAAUCAUUUCAAGGUAAAAAGGCUAACUCAAUGCCAUUUCUUCUCAUUGUGUACAGUAAUAUAAUUGGCAUCUGCACUAAGUUCUGGGGGAGCAGACGGGAAUAAUGAACAGCUAAAUAAAUUGAACUUAAUGACAGUAUUAGUGCAAUAGUUACACAUUCAAGUUAACAUGUAUGCUGGAAGCAAGGGGGAAGACUAAUUUCCCAGGUAUGUUCAGUAGUGAAAAUUUACGAGUAUCCCCUCUUUGCAGGGGGUAAUAGGUAAAAGUCAAAAAGAGUGUCAACAUAGCACUUUCAUAUAUAAAAUAUGAAAAUAAAACAUUUCAACUAAGAUUUGAAAAAGUGAUUUGUACCUGAAGCUACAAAACAGAAUGCUAAAACGUUCCCUUUCACAAUUCUAACGUAAGCCUAGCAAAAACAAACGAAAUCCAACCAACCAAAGAAAGCAAACAAAAGCCCCUCAAGGCUGUGUGAUUCCAAAGUGAAUCCUUCUGUGUUAUCAUUUAUACAUACUAAAAUAAGCACGCAGCAUAAUUACAUCUAUUUUCCUUAAAGUAGACUGAUCAGUGAAAAAAGCAUCAAGUCUACCAACAUGCAGAUCAAUAUUUGAGUGUCUUUUGGAAGGUUUCAGAAGUAUGUAUUGCUUGUUUUAUGUAGAACAAGGGCAAAUGCCUCUGAAAGAAAUGCACUUUACCUGUUAGUAACCUAUAAGCUUCAUUCUGAGUCAUGCUGGGAUAACAGAAGCUAAUAACAUCCAUUCUGUGAACAUGAGAAAAUAUUUUAUGAACAAAAUAUUCCUACUGAAAUGCUUAAUUUUCCCUUAAAAAAAAAAAAAGGAGGAACAGCAUGACAGAAGUUGAAAAGAAAAAUCCUUUGCACUGUUGCAAUCUGACUGCAAACAUAGUCAUUUCUUCUAUUCAAGAUGCUGGUACUUACUUUGCUCAUCUCUUGUAUGUGUAAAGAAGUAGUCAUUAAGCCCAGACUCAAAAUUAGAGGCCAGAGCUAAACAUCAGGCUCUGAGUCAAUGGAAAUGAAUACUUAGUGCAUGUACCUUGAUGACAAGCAGGGUUCUACCAGAGGUACCCCAUAGCAAAAGGAGAGGAGGGGCUAUUUGAAAGGAAAUGCUCCUCUGUCCCACCCACUCAAUGAAGUCAUAAGGGCAUCAAGUCUUACAGCUGGAAGGACUUCACCUCUCUAAUGAACUGGACACUAACACUGCUGUUAAUAGCUAUUCCAUGGCUUUCUUCUCUCUUUGGAGGCAGAAAUCUAAAUCCCUGUGUUAAAUGGAGUUUGAAUAGAAAUUAAUCACUACAUACUCAGCUAUUUUUUUUUUAAUGCCAAGAAAACAUAUUUUAUUGUAUUUAAUCAUUACACUGUCAAAGCUGUUGGUGCUAACCAUGUAUAAUCAAGUUGUCAAUAUGUAUCGUGUGAAAUAUUGAGCAUGAGUUCUUCAAAUCAACCUGUGUGGAUUUUGCCCCACUAAAUAUCACCAUUAGUCUUAUGCUUUCUUUUUACAGACUCCCGUAUCAGUAAGUUAGAGGCGUGGAUGAUCAGAUCUUUAAAUUGUAUGACCACAUUCCUAUAAAAGGUAGACAGAUUAGAUUAAUUCCACUGCAAGGUUUGGUCGGAAGUCUUGAUUAACUUUUAUUAAUUUUUAUUUUUCUGCUAUUUUCAUUCAGAUUAUUGAUAACAAUGAGUCAUGAAAUCUGUUCCGCCCCCCACACCUUUCCUGAGCAUCUGCUAUUUCAAGUAAAAGUGAAUUCACCACAUAAUCUCUCAGCAGUAAAGCAGUUAACUCUUAUGACCCAAAAGAUACUGAUUCAAGCAGACAAACCUCCUAUGUCUGCACUGAUCUGCCCCUAGGCAGCAUGAAGCAUUUAAACUAAAUUGACCAAAACUUACUGAAAAGAUUGGAUAAACUGAAAAUCCACCUAAUUUAAGAACAAAUUUAAGAACUGACAUAUCUCAAUCAGAAGAGUGCACCAAUGGCCUGGGAAACAUAAAACGAAACACAAAUUUUUCAUUUCUCAUUAAAAAUUGGAAUGCGAGAUCUAUAUUUAAACAACUUUAUUAACAUAGUCAAGCAGUGAUUAACAUUCACAUCUAUUAUGUCACAUCAUACAAACGUAAAUACAAAAUUACUACAGUACAAUAUAUAUUCUCUGCAUGAUCCAAAAUAUUUGGUGGCCCCAAAAACUCUUUAAAAUUCAGCAGCUUAUCAAAAAUUAAAACCAUAUUCUAUUCAAAAUGAAGUUUUGUUAGCACAGAGGCAGACUUCAAGAAAGAUCACUCAAUUUAGUACAGUUUGAGAAGUUGCAGGAUAUGUUUGAAGGAAACAUUCCGACAUUGUGGCUGAUACAGAAACAUCAGAUUUAAAGCUUUCAAGCAAAACAUACAACCUAAGUUGUCAGCAGAAAGAUCCAGUCAUCUUUCACUUUAAACUGUUCACAUACUGCAUCCAAUUUAAAAUUUUGGAAGUGUUUAGUAUUAGUAAGUCAGACAGCAUACAACAUACCUACCUAUCUAUUCCCAUGAAAAAAGAUAAUAUUACACUAAAGACUUCACCAGCCAAAUAUACCUACUCAUACUAAUAUUUUUAAAUAUCCCCAUAAAAAUCACCCAGGCCUUCUCUGUUUUGUUUCUCACCUAACGUAAGUAAAGAGAUACCUAAGGUGAAAGUAGCACAAUAGAAUUGAAUAUAGAAAAACGAUACUAUAAGUGCUGAAUUCUUAGAGAUGUGGAUUUGGCUUACUUAAAAAGUAUACUGUAACACCACAAAGGGAUACAUAUUUUAUAGAGCCAUUUUAACUUCCCUCACAUACAUACAUUCAAGUGAGUAAGCAUCCUUAUUAUUUUAACAGAAUAUACUCCGUAAGGCAAGCAACAAGAGUACUCACCUCAGAGUUUCCCCAUUUAAAAUAAUCUAAAACUGGCUUGCUCCAACCGUAAGUGCAAAGAACAAGCAUCAGUGACAGACAAAAAACAGCUUCUAUUGGAGAAGAACACCUACUAGACUGAUGGAUGCAAGUCAUCUGGAGAAUGCAUAGGUGAGUGCAAUACACAGCUACUGAUCAAGCUUCAUUUACUCAAGAUGAGGUUACUGGAAAUAUUUAUGUAAUAUGUAACAAAUACGUAUGCAAAUUACAUCAGCAUCUAUGUGAGAUAACUGC